CCCUUAGAUGUUCUGGGCCGCACGCGCGCUACACUGAUGCAUUCAACGAGUCUAAAACCUGCUCUGAUAGGGGUGGGUAAUCUUUUGAAUGUGCAUCGUGAUUGGGAUAGAUGAUUGCAAUUUUUCAUCUUCAACGAGGAAUGCCUAGUAAACGCAAGUCAUCAGCUUGCAUUGAUUACGUCCCUGCCCUUUGUACACACCGCCCGUCGCUCCUACCGAUUGAAUGAUCCGAUGAAUAUCAUGGAUUGAGGAUGCAAGCAGGUUCGCCUGUCUUCAUCUUCGAGAAGUGAAGUAAAUCUUAUCAUUUAGAGGAAGGAGUAGUCGUAACA
rnacentral:rRNA from 1 species